rnacentral:rRNA from 1 species
GAUGAACGCUAGCGGCAGGCCUAAUACAUGCAAGUCGAACGGUGUCUUCGGACAUAGUGGCGCACGGGUGCGUAACACGUAUGCAACCUACCUUACAUUGGGGGAUAGCCUUUCGAAAGGGAGAUUAAUACCGCAUAAGACAGUAGCUGGGCAUCCAGCGGCUGUUAAAGAUUUAUCGAUGUAUGCUGGGCAUGCGUCCAAUUAGCUAGUUGGUGAGGUAACGGCUCACCAAGGCAAUGAUUGGUAGGGGAACUGAGAGGUCAAUCCCCCACACUGGCACUGAGAUACGGGCCAGACUCCUACGGGAGGCAGCAGUAGGGAAUAUUGGGCAAUGGACGCAAGUCUGACCCAGCCAUGCCGCGUGCAGGAUGAAGGCGUUAUGCGUUGUAAACUGCUUUUAUACAGGGAGAAACGACUCUUGCGAGAGGCAUUGACGGUACUGUAUGAAUAAGCACCGGCUAACUCCGUGCCAGCAGCCGCGGUAACAC